rnacentral:rRNA from 1 species
UACGUAGGAUGCAAGCGUUAUCCGGAAUUAUUGGGCGUAAAGAGCUCGUAGGCGGUUUGUCACGUCUGCUGUGAAAACUGGAGGCUCAACCUCCAGCCUGCAGUGGGUACGGGCAGACUAGAGUGCGGUAGGGGAGAUUGGAAUUCCUGGUGUAGCGGUGGAAUGCGCAGAUAUCAGGAGGAACACCGAUGGCGAAGGCAGAUCUCUGGGCCGUAACUGACGCUGAGGAGCGAAAGCAUGGGGAGCAAACGGG